UUGUUUCAUUCUCAAAAUGAAGUUUUUCUGUUGGGAAAAAAUGUAGCAAAAUUUUAAAAUUCUUUUACAUAAGAAUAAAUUUAAAAAAAGUAGCGUUAUAUGGCAACCAAGGCAGAGGAGUGGGCAGUGGCCCUUCCUCUUUGAAUAACUCUACCACCUCCGUACCUGGCAAAUCCUCAACACAAGUGAGCUUUAACUUUUGCAAAAUGCAUAUUCCUUGUUAGUUGGAUCUGCUUCCAAUCAGUUACUCCCCUUCCUCCUGGAGUCCUGGUCCCUUAUUAACAUCACACUGUUAUUGUUGUCUUUCAGAGGUCCUUGGGGUGCACUUUCAGCUAUCCCUGAGAAAAAUGCUAUUUCUGUUAAUUCUCAGGUUUUUAUAUUUCCUUUUCUUUUUCUCUUUUAGUUUAAAGAAUAUCAUUUUUCAUAACAGUUUGUUUCAUUGAUUGAGUGUGUUCAUGCUUCCUUGUUCAAUUACAGGGGGGAUCUGUUUUCUCUGCUUCUGGUGAUUCUUGUGCAUAUUGUUGGGAUGUGGAAACUGGUAAAGUAAAAAUGGUAUUUAAGGGGCACUUGGACUACUUGCACUGCAUAGUUGCUCGCAAUUCAUCCAAUCAGAUCAUAACUGGUUCAGAGGACAGGACUGCACGAAUUUGGGAUACAUCUUUCUGUAAAUUAUUUGGUUCAUUAAAUAUAUUUGUGCAGAAUUUUGGCUUAUACUUUUUUUUUUGUUUCAUUAAAUAUACUUGGUUCAUUAAAUGCCACACCUUUUUCUCUUCAUUCGUGAUUGAAAUAUGGCAAUGGAUUUUCCCCCUUUCAUUCUUCCCUUAUGAUAUCUAAAAAGUAUUG